ensembl:ncRNA ZC487.7 ncRNA
UUCCCUUCCACCGAACAUGCCAGUGUGUCCGCCUCGACGCGUUGCCCGUCAAGAUGCGCGCGAAAGGUGCAAACAUCGGCUCGCGCCCUCUUCCGAGUGUAGCUAUUCAUUUCAAAUUGCCAACAGUGAGAUCCUAUGAGAGCUCA